rnacentral:rRNA from 1 species
GAUGAACGCUAGCUACAGGCUUAGCACAUGCGAGUCGAGGGGCAGCGGUAUCGAAAGCUUGCUUUCGGUAGCCGGCGACCGGCGCACGGGUGAGUAACGCGUAUCGAACCUGCCUCAUACUCGGGAAUAGCCUUGCGAAAGUAAGAUUAAUGCCCGGUGUUUUCAGAGUCCCGCAUGAGGCUUUGAACAAAGAUUUAUCGGUAUGAGAUGGCGAUGCGUCCCAUUAGCUUGUUGGCGGGGUAACGGCCCACCAAGGCAUCGAUGGGUAGGGGUUCUGAGAGGAAGGUCCCCACAUUGGAACUGAGACACGGUCCAAACUCCUACGGGAGGCAGCAGUGAGGAAUAUUGGUCAAUGGGCGGAAGCCUGAACCAGCCAAGUAGCGUGCAGGAAGACGGCCCUCCGGGUUGUAAACUGCUUUUAGUUGGGAAUAAAACGGGGCUCGUGAGCCCCCUUGCAUGUACCAUCAGAAAAAGGACCGGCUAAUUCCGUG